rnacentral:rRNA from 1 species
CCAGACUCCUACGGGAGGCAGCAGUGGGGGAUAUUGCACAAUGGGGGGAACCCUGAUGCAGCGACGCCGCGUGGGUGAAGAAGCGCCUCGGCGCGUAAAGCCCUGUCAGCAGGGAAGAAAAUGACGGUACCUGAAGAAGAAGCCCCGGCUAACUACGUGCCAGCAGCCGCGGUAAUACGUAGGGGGCAAGCGUUAUCCGGAUUCACUGGGUGUAAAGGGAGCGUAGACGGCGACGCAAGUCUGGAGUGAAAGCCCGGGGCCCAACCCCGGGACUGCUCUGGAAACUGCGUCGCUGGAGUGCCGGAGGGGUAGGCGGAAUUCCUAGUGUAGCGGUGAAAUGCGUAGAUAUUAGGAGGAACACCAGUGGCGAAGGCGGCCUACUGGACGGUGACUGACGCUGAGGCUCGAAAGCGUGGGGAGCAAACAGGAUUAGAUACCCUGGUAUU